UUGCUUCAGCAGCAAACAUAUACUAAAAUUGGAACAAAAUGGAGAGAAAUUAGCAUGGCCCCUGCCUGCAUAAGGAUGAUGCACAGAUUUUUUGAAGUGGUCCAUAUUUUG
ensembl:snRNA U6 U6 spliceosomal RNA